UACGAAGGGGGCUAGCGUUGCUCGGAAUCACUGGGCGUAAAGGGUGCGUAGGCGGGUCUUUAAGUCAGGGGGGAAAUCCUGGAGCUCAACUCCAGAACUGCCUUUGAUACUGAAGAUCUUGAGUUCGGGAGAGGUGAGUGGAACUGCGAGUGUAGAGGUGAAAUUCGUAGAUAUUCGCAAGAACACCAGUGGCGAAGGCGGCUCACUGGCCCGAUACUGACGCUGAGGCACGAAAGCGUGGAGAGCAAACAGG
rnacentral:rRNA from 1 species